rnacentral:rRNA from 1 species
CCUACGUGAGGCAGCAGUGAGGAAUAUUGGUCAAUGGACGAGAGUCUGAACCAGCCAAGUAGCGUGCAGGCUGACUGCCCUAUGGGUUGUAAACUUCUUUUAUAUGGGACUAAAAUGUUCCACGUGUGGGAUUUUGUAUGUACCAUAUGAAUAAGGAUCGGCUAACUCCGUGCCAGCAGCCGCGUGAAUACGGAGAAUACGAGCGUUAUCCGGAUUUAUUGGGUUUAGAGGGAGCGUAGGUGGAUUGUUAAGUCAGUUGUGAACGGUUGCGGCUCAACCGUAAAAUUGCAGUUGAAACUGGCAGUCUUGAGUACAGUAGAGGUGGGCGGAAUGCGUGGUGUAGCGGUGAAAUGCGUAGAUAUCACGAAGAACUCCGAUUGCGAAGGCAGUUCACUGGACUGCAACUGACACUGAGGCUCGAAAGUGUGGGUAUCAAACAGGAUUAGAUACCCCGGUAGUC